rnacentral:rRNA from 1 species
GAACGAACGCUGGCGGCGUGCCUAACACAUGCAAGUCGAGCGAGAAUGGGGAGCAAUCCCCGAGUAAAGCGGCAAACGGGUGAGUAACGCGUGGGCAACCUACCUUCAAGUGGGGGAUACCACCUCGAAAGGGGGGUUAAUACCGCAUAACACACGGAGCUCUCUGGAGUUCCGAAUCAAAGGUAGGGCUUUUCGGAGCUGUCACUCUCGGAGGGGUCCGCGUCUGAUUAGCUAGUUGGUGAGGUAAUGGCCCACCAAGGCGACGAUCAGUAGCCGGCCUGAGAGGGCGAUCGGCCACACUGGAACUGAGACACGGUCCAGACUCCUACGGGAGGCAGCAGUGGGGAAUAUUGGACAAUGGGCGAAAGCCUGAUCCAGCAACGCCGCGUGGAGGAUGAAAGCCUUCGGGUUGUAAACUCCUGUCAGGUGGGGCGAAAACCAUGGCGCAGGUGGGACGAAGUCCAUGACGGUACCACCAGAGGAAGCCCCGGCUAACUCCGUGCCAGCAGCCGCGGUAAUACGGAGGGGGCGAGCGUUAUUCGGAAUCAUUGGGCGUAAAGGGCGCGUAGGCGGCCUGAUAAGUCAGGGGUGAAAUCCCUCGGCCUAACCGAGGAACUGCCCUUGAAACUGUCAGGCUUGAGAGUCCGGGAGAGGAGAGUGGAAUUCCCAGAGUAGCGGUGAAAUGCGUAGAUACUGGGAGGAACACCGGUGGCGAAGGCGGCUCUCUGGACCGAUACUGACGCUGAUACGCGAAAGCUAGGGGAGCAAACGGGAUUAGAUACCCCGGUAGUCCUAGCUGUAAACGAUGAACACUUGGUGUGGCGGGUAUCGCCCCCUGCCGUGCCGAAGCUAACGCAUUAAGUGCCCCGCCUGGGGAGUACGGCCGCAAGGCUGAAACUCAAAGGAAUUGACGGGGGCCCGCACAAGCGGUGGAGCAUGUGGUUUAAUUCGACGCAACGCGAAGAACCUUACCUGGGUUUGAACUGUAGGUGACAGCCCCCGAAAAGGGGGGUUUCCUUCGGGUGGCUACAGAGGUGCUGCAUGGCUGUCGUCAGCUCGUGUCGUGAGAUGUUGGGUUAAGUCCCGCAACGAGCGCAACCCUUGUCCUUAGUUGCCAUCGGGUCAUGCCGGGAACUCUAGGGAGACUGCCCCGGAAAACGGGGAGGAAGGUGGGGAUGACGUCAAGUCCUCAUGGCCUUUAUGCCCAGGGCUACACACGUGCUACAAUGGGCGGUACAAAGGGUCGCGAUACCGCAAGGUGGAGCUAAUCCCAAAAAGCCGUCCUCAGUUCGGAUUGCAGUCUGCAACUCGACUGCAUGAAGGUGGAAUCGCUAGUAAUCGCGGAUCAGCAUGCCGCGGUGAAUACGUUCCCGGGCCUUGUACACACCGCC